AUCAACUGUUUAAAAGAUGGUUCUGCUAUCACUCUUGGAUGGACCUGCGGUGCAUUAGCUAGUUGGUAGGGUAACGGCCUACCAAGGCGAUGAUGCAUAGCCGAGUUGAGAGACUGAUCGGCCACAUUGGGACUGAGACACGGCCCAAACUCCUACGGGAGGCAGCAGUAGGGAAUCUUCCACAAUGGACGCAAGUCUGAUGGAGCAACGCCGCGUGAGUGAAGAAGGUUUUCGGAUCGUAAAGCUCUGUUGUUGGUGAAGAAGGAUAGAGGUAGUAACUGGCCUUUAUUUGACGGUAAUCAACCAGAAAGUCACGGCUAACUACGUGCCAGCAGCCGCGGUAAAU
rnacentral:rRNA from 1 species